AUGAACGCUGGCGGCGUGCCUAAUACCUGCAAGUCGAGCGAACAGACGAGGAGCUUGCUCCUCUGACGUUAGCGGCGGACGGGUGAGUAACACGUGGAUAACCUACCUAUAAGACUGGGAUAACUUCGGGAAACCGGAGCUAAUACCGGAUAAUAUAUUGAACCGCAUGGUUCAAUAGUGAAAGACGGUUUUGCUGUCACUUAUAGAUGGAUCCGCGCCGCAUUAGCUAGUUGGUAAGGUAACGGCUUACCAAGGCGACGAUGCGUAGCCGACCUGAGAGGGUGAUCGGCCACACUGGAACUGAGACACGGUCCAGACUCCUACGGGAGGCAGCAGUAGGGAAUCUUCCGCAAUGGGCGAAAGCCUGACGGAGCGACGCCGCGUGAGUGAUGAAGGUCUUCGGAUCGUAAAACUCUGUUAUUAGGGAAGAACAAAUGUGUAAGUAACUAUGCACGUCUUGACGGUACCUAAUCAGAAAGCCACGGCUAACUACGUG
rnacentral:rRNA from 1 species